GGCACUGUUGCAAAGUUAGCGAUGAGGCAGC
rnacentral:rRNA from 1 species